AUUCGGCGUACAUAUACUUAUUUGGGCAAAUUCGACCAAGACGUCUUUCACAGUGCUAACCAUCCCAACCUACAAGAGAUUGGCUCCCCGACGACAAGCGUUUGUCAGCAGGCGUAUCGUCGAAAGCGAACUCUAUCAUUAGGGAACAGCUACACAUCUCAAACAGGCAAACAAUCUGAAAAUGAUUGCAGUGCGGCUAAAAUCAAGAAGGAGACAUCUAUUGAAGGAGAC